AGAGUUUGAUCAUGGCUCAGAAUGAACGCUGGCGGCGUGCUUAACACAUGCAAGUCGCACGAGAACGCUUCAGCUUGCUGAAGUUAGUAAAGUGGCGCACGGGUGAGUAACGCGUGGGUAAUCUCCCCCCGAAUUGGGGAUAACAUUGCGAAAGCGAUGCUAAUACCGGAUAAUAUCUUAAAUACCCUGGUAAUUAAGAUCAAAGGUGGCCUCUACAUGUAAGCUACUGUUUGGGGAUGAGCCCGCGUACCAUUAGCUUGUUGGUAGGGUAACGGCCUACCAAGGCUGCGAUGGUUAGCUGGUCUGAGAGGAUGAUCAGCCACACUGGAACUGACACACGGUCCAGACUCCUACGGGAGGCAGCAGUGAGGAAUUUUGCGCAAUGGGGGAAACCCUGACGCAGCAACGCCGCGUGAGUGAUGAAGGCUUUCGGGUCGUAAAGCUCUGUCAAGUGGGAAGAAACCAUGUGGUGCUAAUAUCACCAUGUGCUGACGGUACCACUGAAGGAAGCACCGGCUAACUCCGUGCCAGCAGCCGCGGUAAUACGGGGGGUGCAAGCGUUAUUCGGAAUUACUGGGCGUAAAGAGCGCGUAGGCGGUCUUUUAAGUCAGGUGUGAAAGCCCGGGGCUCAACCCCGGAAGUGCACUUGAAACUAAGGGACUUGAGUAUGGGAGAGGGAAGUGGAAUUCCUGGUGUAGCGGUGAAAUGCGUAGAUAUCAGGAGGAACACCGGUGGCGAAGGCGACUUCCUGGACCAAUACUGACGCUGAGGCGCGAAGGCGUGGGGAGCAAACAGGAUUAGAUACCCUGGUAGUCCACGCAGUAAACGGUGAACACUAGGUGUAGCGGGUAUUGACCCCUGCUGUGCCGCAGCAAACGCAUUAAGUGUUCCGCCUGGGGAGUACGGCCGCAAGGUUAAAACUCAAAUGAAUUGACGG
rnacentral:rRNA from 1 species